AUUUUUCUUGGGCAGCAUAUAUGCUAAAAUUAGAGCAGUAAACAGAGAUUAACAUGGCCCCUGUGCAAAGAUGACAUAUAAAUUUGUCAUGUGUUCCAUAUUAUA
ensembl:snRNA U6 U6 spliceosomal RNA